rnacentral:lncRNA from 1 species
GGGACCCGUUAGACGUGGAGUGGGGACGGAGUGGGGGGCGACAGACUGGGCUGGGAAAUUGCUAACCUGUCCCCGGAGACUGCUUUCUGAGAGCCCUGUCCCUUCCCCGGAAGAGGCCAAUUCCAGAGGGAGCGAUAACAAUACCGUGUAUCGGGAUGAGACUAAAGCCAGACGGCAACAACACAGCACACUUUCCCGGGCAGCGCCAGUGCGAGGUGCUUUGAAAGCACACGAGGCAACCCCGGAGGCCGAAGUGGAAGGGUCUCGCCCCGUGGGGCUGCUACCCUGUCUCAUCAUCGCUCCUUGGAGCCCUCCACUGACGGGGCUAUUUUCAUGAAGAACCAUGGAGCCCAGUGGAGAGAAAAUACGAACCCUUUCGGAGGGCUGACAGCCAGCCUUGCUGACUCUCUGGUAUAUAACAAGGCCUUGGAAGAGAUGUCUUCAUGAUAUUUUAUUCAUUUUAAGAGAAUGUGAACCAAGAGGAGUGAUCAAAAAGAAAGCCAAAUGUCUUCUAUGCCACCAACCACUUCCACUGCACACUAUUGGUUACAAGUGAGUCACUAUAUCUAGCUCACUCUCAAGACCAGGAGAAGGGAACUCUGCUACUUGAAAGAAGUGCUGUCAAGGAAUUCGUGGAAUCAUUAUUCACACCACAUUCUUAAAUGUUUUAUAAUCCCUCCAGAAGCUUCUGCAGCUAGGAUAAAACAUUAAGAUAACUUAACCUUAUCUUACCAAGUCAAGAAUUGUCCAUGUCUUCUAUAACCUGUCAUUCUCUCUUUUUAUCUAAUUACAAUUAUCAGACAGUAAUAUAUACCAAAAUAAAUGGAUGUAUAACCCAAUAAUGGAGUCAAAUCUCUUUAAUUAUCAUAAAAGUUCUAUUUCCACAGAAACUUUAAUUUUUUUAUAUGAAAGUUCUCAGUGAUGAUUUAAAACAAAUCAAUACAUAAGAAAAAUUACAACAAAAUGAAAUAUGUCAGCAAAAUCUCUGACACUAGUCAGUCCUGAUGUCCUUAGUUUGGAUUAAGGCUCCAUUGGCCCUAGAGAAUGCCAACCUUUGACAUCUACUGACAAUUUGACACUCAGGAACUUUGCUGAAUUCAUGUAGGAUUUGGGCCACAAAAACAAUAGCUCCCUCUUUGGUCUGAGGAUUAAAAAUAAGUUUCUUGUGAAUUUCUUUAAACAAACUAGUUCUGAUCAUGGCCUGAUUCUUGUUCUAAGUGACUUUCCUGCAGGACUUAGGAUUUAAAAUCCUAGAAUUACCGGG